rnacentral:misc_RNA from 1 species
GCAAACUUGGUCAUUUAGAGGAAGUAAAAGUCGUAACAAGGUUUCCGUAGGUGAACCUGCGGAAGGAUCAUUAACAGAUUUUCAAUAAUCCAUAUUCACCUUGUGUGCAAUUUUGCAUAAAAAAUUAAUAAUAUCUUUUUGGAAAGAUUAUUUUUUAUAAUAAUAAUCUUUCCAAAGAAGUUAUUAUAAUCAAUCCAUUUUUUCUUUUCUUUAUCAUGUCUAAACUAUAUAUAUCUAAAAUAAAGAAAUAACUUUCAACAACGGAUCUCUUGGCUCUCGCAUCGAUGAAGAACGCAGC